UCGGGUAUGGUGUAGCGGUAACAUCGUUGACUCUCACUUCUUCAGGAGUGACUGCUCUCUCAACAGCCCCGGGUUCGACUCCCGGUAUCCGAG
rfam:Sordaria macrospora k-hell, WGS project CABT02000000 data, contig: 2.15